rnacentral:rRNA from 1 species
CACGUAGGGCGCAAGCGUUGUCCGGAAUUAUUGGGCGUAAAGAGCUCGUAGGCGGUCUGUUGCGUCCGCUGUGAAAACUCGGGGCUUAACCCCGAGCCUGCAUUCGAUACGGGCAGACUAGAGUUCGGUAGGGGAGACUGGAAUUCCUGGUGUAGCGGUGAAAUGCGCAGAUAUCAGGAGGAACACCGGUGGCGAAGGCGGGUCUCUGGGCCGAUACUGACGCUGAGGAGCGAAAGCGUGGGGAGCGAACAGG